CAUCUAGAUUGCGGAUCCGCGGCCGCAGAGUUUGAUCCUGGCUCAGAUUGAACGCUAGCGGGAUGCUUUACACAUGCAAGUCGAACGGCAGCACGAGAUAAGCUUGCUUAUCUUGGUGGCGAGUGGCGAACGGGUGAGUAACGUAUCGGAACGUGCCCAGUAGCGGGGGAUAACUACGCGAAAGCGUGGCUAAUACCGCAUACGCCCUACGGGGGAAAGGGGGGGAUUCUUCGGAACCUCUCACUAUUGGAGCGGCCGAUAUCAGAUUAGCUAGUUGGUGGGGUAAUGGCCUACCAAGGCCGCGAUCUGUAGCUGGUUUGAGAGGACGACCAGCCACACUGGGACUGAGACACGGCCCAGACUCCUACGGGAGGCAGCAGUGGGGAAUUUUGGACAAUGGGGGCAACCCUGAUCCAGCCAUCCCGCGUGUGCGAUGAAGGCCUUCGGGUUGUAAAGCACUUUUGGCAGGGAAGAAAAGGCGCGGGCUAAUAUCCUGCGCCGCUGACGGUACCUGCAGAAUAAGCACCGGCUAACUACGUGCCAGCAGCCGCGGUAAUACGUAGGGUGCAAGCGUUAAUCGGAAUUACUGGGCGUAAAGCGUGCGUCGGCGGUUUGGCAAGAAAGGUGUGAAAUCCCAGGGCUUAACCUUGGAACUGCACUUUUAACUGCCAGGCUAGAGUAUGUCAGAGGGGGGGUAGAAUUCCGCGUGUAGCAGUGAAAUGCGUAGAGAUGCGGAGGAAUACCGAUGGCGAAAGGCAGCCCCCUGGGAUAAUACUGACGCUCAAGCACGAAAGCGUGGG
rnacentral:rRNA from 2 species